UACGUAGGGGGCGAGCGUUAUCCGGAUUCAUUGGGCGUAAAGCGCGCGUAGGCGGCCUGUUAGGUCGGGGGUCAAAUACCGGGGCUCAACCCCGGUCCGCCCCCGAUACCGGCAGGCUUGAGUCUGGUAGGGGAAGGCGGAAUUCCCAGUGUAGCGGUGGAAUGCGCAGAUAUUGGGAAGAACACCAGUGGCGAAGGCGGCCGCCUGGCCUGUUGCUGACGCUGAGGCACGAAAGCGUGGGGAGCAAAUAGG
rnacentral:rRNA from 1 species